UGUAGGUUUUAUCGGCUACGCUCCUGAGAUUCAUGCCAUAGUGAAGCAGUGGAAACACAAAGACGAUGAUGACGACCAGCUGUUCUACACACACAUCUACCUGGAUAAAGAGCAGAGGAGGAAGUUCAACAUCACACUGGACCACAAAUCCCACAUUUUUCAGAAUCUGAAUGGAGCCGUAGAGGAAGUGGUCCUGAAGUUUGAGAAAUCCAGAGUCAGAGCUCGGAAAGUGGCCUAUGAUACAUUUCCGGUCGUUAUCCAUGGCAACGGCCCGACUAAACUCCUGCUGAAUUAUCUGGGUAACUAUGUGCCGGCCGCGUGGACAUACGAACACGGAUGUGGGAUCUGUGACGAUGAUUUUCUGGACCUGAGCAGUCUAUCUG